UACGUAGGGUCCGAGCGUUGUCCGGAAUUAUUGGGCGUAAAGAGCUCGUAGGCGGUCUGUUGCGUCGGUUGUGAAAACCUGGGGCUCAACUCCAGGCCUGCAAUCGAUACGGGCAGACUAGAGUUCGGUAGGGGAGACUGGAAUUCCUGGUGUAGCGGUGAAAUGCGCAGAUAUCAGGAGGAAUACCGAUGGCGAAGGCAGGUCUCUGGGCUAUAACUGACGCUCAUGCACGAAAGCGUGGGGAGCAAACAGG
rnacentral:rRNA from 1 species